rnacentral:rRNA from 1 species
UGGGGAAUAUUGCACAAUGGGCGAAAGCCUGAUGCAGCGACGCCGCGUGAGGGAUGACGGCCUUCGGGUUGUAAACCUCUUUCAGUAGGGACGAAGCGCAAGUGACGGUACCUGCAGAAGAAGCACCGGCUAACUACGUGCCAGCAUCCGCGGUAAUACGUAGGGUGCGAGCGUUGUCCGGAAUUACUGGGCGUAAUGAGCUCGUAGGCGGUUUGUCACGUCGUCUGUGAAAUCCUAGGGCUUAACCCUGGACGUGUAGGCGAUACGGGCUGACUUGAGUACUACAGGGGAGACUGGAAUUUCUGGUGUAGCGGUGGAAUGCACAGAUAUCAGGAAGAAAGCCGAUGGCGAAGGCAGGUCUCUGGGUAGUAACUGACGCUGAGGAGCGAAAGCAUGGGUAGCGAACAGG